GUUGAGGGGAAUGCUGUCUGGUUCGAAACCAUUCUGUAAAGUGAUCCAAGCCAAUAUUUCAGGGUCGAAUCUUAUAUAUGUGUACGAAAAAGAAUAUAAAUAAAGUUUGAUAUACAUUUCAGAACUCACAACGUCUAAAUUCUGAAUUUUCUAUCGUAGAUCAGAGUUGAUGAUCAUUUGAUCAUGAGUGAUUUCGGACCAGGCUUCAUUCCCCUCAAC
rnacentral:pre_miRNA from 1 species